rnacentral:pre_miRNA from 1 species
AGGAGGAACAGCAACAGUGGCUGUGACCAGCUCUGGAAACCUGGAGUCAGCUCCCGCAGUAACUACAGAGCUCUAGGUGUGCAGGGGCCUGGAUGCUCUGGGGGCGG